rnacentral:rRNA from 1 species
GAGUUUGAUCCUGGCUCAGAUUGAACGCUGGCGGCAUGCCUUACACAUGCAAGUCGAACGGCAGUACGGGAGCUUGCUCCUGGUGGCGAGUGGCGAACGGGUGAGUAAUGCAUCGGAACGUAUCCUGGAGUGGGGGAUAACGUAGCGAAAGUUACGCUAAUACCGCAUAUUCUGUGAGCAGGAAAGCGGGGGACCUUCGGGCCUCGCGCUCUUGGAGCGGCCGAUGUCGGAUUAGCUAGUUGGUGAGGUAAAGGCUCACCAAGGCGACGAUCCGUAGCAGGUCUGAGAGGAUGAUCUGCCACACUGGAACUGAGACACGGUCCAGACUCCUACCGGGAGGCAGCAGUGGGGAAUUUUGGACAAGUGGGGGCAACCCUGAUCCAGCCAUGCCGCGUGAGUGAAGAAGGCCUCGG